CUGACCACAGACUCCCCCUCCUGUUGGCGUGGCAUGGCGUAGUCCUUCAUGAACAUGGGAGGGCAUAAUAAACACCUAUUUUGAUUGAGUAUCUGGACUCUCUCAACUUCUUCAAGGUGGAAUUUUCACCACCAGAAAUGUUUCUGUUCAUCCGGGAUAGCGAAGGGUUGCUUGGGCAAGGAGGAGUGGAGAGGCAGAGGAAAAGGAAAGGAAUUAGGUAACCCAGUGCCUAGUCCUCUUCUGAUAACAAGACAGUGGAUGCGGGCUAACGCCUUUCCAAUAUCUAGGUAACCUGAACGCCCAUGAGGUUGAAUAUUCAGGAGAUGCUUUAAGACUGCUAUGUAGUAUUGUAAUAUUUAACAGCUAGAGUGAGGAACCCUGAACACCCAUUGAGGGGUUGCAUGGAAAGGGGUGCAGUUUGCUCACUCCUGCAAGACGCUGCAAGGGGCCUAUGUGAAACUCUUGCAGGAGAACCAUCUCAACUGAUAAAACCCCUGUUUAAACAACACCCAGAUGAUAAAGACAAUCAGAUGAAGUAUUGCUAACCCCUCUCUCUGAUUAUCCCACAGCACUCCUACAAGGUGUAAAACCACAAGGGGCAGAAGAUAGAGAUCAGAAUUAUGAAGAUCAAGUUCGACUGGAUUAUUUUUUACAUUGGGAGGUCGGAUAAUGUAAUCAUUUGUUGUGUACUUCUCGGGGGACUUUAACUUAUUCCUGUCCUACGCUGUAAUUUUUACAGACUGCAUGUUCUUAUGUCUGGAAAGACCUUGCUACAAAAGGACCUGAGGAAAUAAACCUUGACCU
ensembl:lncRNA